rnacentral:tRNA from 1 species
GGAGAGGUGACCGAGUGGUCGAAGGUGCACGCCUGGAAAGCGUGUGUGCUGCGAAACAGUACCGAGGGUUCGAAUCCCUCUCUCUCCG